UCUGCAACUCGACUACAUGAAGCUGGAAUCGCUAGUAAUCGUAGAUCAGCAUGCUACGGUGAAUACGUUCCCGGGUCUUGUACACACCGCCCGUCACACCACGAGAGUUUGUAACACCCGAAGCCGGUGGAGUAACCUUUUAGGAGCUAGCCGUCGAAGGUGGGACAAAUGAUUGGGGUGAAGUCGUAACAAGGUAGCCGUAUCGGAAGGUGCGGCUGGAUCACCUCCUUU
rnacentral:rRNA from 1 species